AGGUGCGUGUCCGAGAGGCCAAAGGACCCCGGCUUAAGACCGGGGGCAUAGCGCUACGUGGGUUCAAAUCCCACCGCACCUA
rnacentral:tRNA from 1 species